rnacentral:rRNA from 1 species
UAGGUCUCAGUUCGGACUGUAGGCUGCAACUCGCCUACACGAAGUUGGAAUUGCUAGUAAUCGUGGAUCAGCAUGCCACGGUGAAUACGUUCCCGGGUCUUGUACACACCGCCCGUCACACCAUGGGAGCUGGUAACACCCGAAGUCAGUAGUCUAACCGCAAGGAGGACGCUGCCGAAGGUAGGAUUAGCGACUGGGGUGAAGUCGUAACAAGGUAUC